GAUGAACGCUAGCGGUAGGCCUAACACAUGCAAGUCGAACGGUAACAUGAGAGCUUGCUCUUGAUGACGAGUGGCGAACGGGUGCGUAACACGUAUGCAACUUACCCUCUACUGGGGAAUAGCCCAGAGAAAUCUGGAUUAAUACCCCAUAAUAUCAGCGAAUCGCAUGAUUUCCUGAUUAAAACUCCGGUGGUAGAGGAUAGGCAUGCGCCCCAUUAGUUUGUUGGUGAGGCAACGGCUCACCAAGACUACGAUGGGUAGGGGUUCUGAGAGGAUGAUCCCCCACACUGGUACUGAGACACGGACCAGACUCCUACGGGAGGCAGCAGUGAGGAAUAUUGGUCAAUGGACGAAAGUCUGAACCAGCCAUACCGCGUGCAGGAAGACGGCCCUAUGGGUUGUAAACUGCUUUUGUUUGCCAAGAAACCUCCCCACGUGAGGGGAGCUGACGGUAGCAUUCGAAUAAGGACCGGCUAACUCCGUGCCAGCAGCCGCGGUAAUACGGAGGGUCCAAGCGUUAUCCGGAUUUAUUGGGUUUAAAGGGUUCGUAGGCGGAAAGAUAAGUCAGUGGUGAAAGCCUGUGGCUCAACCAUAGNAUUGCCAUUGAUACUGUCUUUCUUGAGUACAAAUGAAGUGGGCGGAAUGUGUCGUGUAGCGGUGAAAUGCUUAGAUAUGACACAGAACACCGAUUGCGAAGGCAGCUCACUAAAUUGUUACUGACGCUGAGGAACGAAAGCGUGGGGAGCGAACAGGAUUAGAUACCUGGUAGUCCACGCCGUAAACGAUGAUCACUCGAUAUUGGCGAUAUAAUGU
rnacentral:rRNA from 1 species